ACAAAAACAAAACUCAGUUGCAUGUAGUGACAUAUGCACUCUGAUAAUAACAUUUACUUUAAACUUCUUGAACUUAAUUGUUGAAGAUUACAAACCAGGUGGCCUUUCUGUCACAGUCAUGCAGGACCCUGCUGCACAUUAAGAAUUGAAAGCACUGCAGGUCUACCCCAUCAGCCAGUUACUCGUUGGUGGAGGAGCUGGAUUCAGUACGAAUCGUGCUGCUGCCUGCAUUAGAGAGGCGUCAAUGUGCAAAGGAGGUGUGCAGUCUAACAGGCAUUAGAAGCAAAGGGCAGACUGGAUGGAGACAGAGAAUGAGAGGAAGAUCACACUUUCAGAUUAAAUGGGAGUGUUCCACAGAUGGACAGUUAAUAAGUACACAGUAUAAAGGCCAGUUCAGCACAAGAGACAAGUAGAUUGAGAAAGCACUCCCAGCAACUGUUCUGCCACUCAACAGAGGAAUGCUCAGUGGAUGAGAAUUGGUGCCACUUUGACAGACGGGAAAGCCGUUUGCUCAUCAUCUUCAUUGGAAGCUCAGAAUCCUCAUCUACUGGAAUUAUGUCUUCAGAACAUUGGCAGUGGAAAGAAAAGUAGAGCAGUGGAGUACUUAGGAAAGGAAUUCCAACACUUGGCAAUGGAUGACACUGCCAGCCAUUGGAGAGGCCAGUACUAGAAGAGUACUAAUUUUUCCAGGGAUUGUUUACAAUUACAAACGUAGGGAAGUGGAAGAUCUUGCCUGAGCCUGCAGACUAUUUCCAAUACUUCAUGUUUUUACGACCAGUGAAUAAACUUUUUAAAAGAAAAAAACUCCAUCAAGUGGAAAAACAUCUUGCACUAAGUGAAAAGCUGGACACUGUCUAUGUCUUGUCUACCCUCAAUGCCUUUUGUGCAUUGCAACAUCAGGUCCAUCUAGAAUAGUUCAUGUACAAUGCCUAUCAUUAAUAGGAGUGAAGUCUGGGAAGGAAUCUACAAGGCGUCAAAGACACAGUCCACCUUUAGAUGGUCCCCAGUCUCUCAGACCUGGCAUUGCAUGGGCCCAGUGGAUUUAGGCCUGGCAUUAGAUGGAAUGAUCUAGAAUCCAUUGAGUCUUGAGCCUAUGAUUGAAAGGACCUUGAGAACUCCUGCUCAGAGUGGGUUUGGCAUCAAAGAUUAGUUCUUCCUCGAGAUUGCAAAUGGCACAUGGGUUGCCCUUAGUCAUUAGGCAAACUGCGAAAUGAGAGGAUCUAUUACUUUUUUGGUUGGUUGUCCAGUUGCAGCUGUCAGCAGGAUCCCCUACCCAAUCACCAGGGGAUUUUUUUUUAAUACAAAAGCUAGCAUUGUUGAUCAAUGCCAUGUGAGACAGAUGAUUCUCAGUUAUGGUAUUAAGAAAACCACAUAAUGUGGGUUUGGCAUUAGAAAUGGCAUUAAGGUUAAUAAGACAGUUAAUCACAUUGUAAUUGUAAGAUAGAACAGGUACAAGUGGCCAACUGCACUCCUCUUGCUUCUACCUUUUAAAAGGAAGUACUGUGUAAAAUAGGACUUUUGCCAAUUGUCGGCAGCAUGAAUAGCAUUGACGCAUGAAUAGUACUUGGUGCAAGUUAGUGCAUGAGCAAAUAGAGAUUUGGAUGAGGUUGAGUUUAACAUUAGACUAUAAAAGACAAGGUUGGAUGAGAAACGUCCAGGUUUCUUCCUCCUUCAAACAAAUCUCAGAAGAAAAGGGUACAUGUGCAGACAUGAUUGGCAGUGCAGCCAGGUGCACGCGGUACAUGCAAAUGUAUAAUACUAUUUUGAUCUCCAGGCUAGAGAAUUCAGCACUCAACAGUUGAUUUUCUGUUUUAGGGCAAUGACUAUGUUCCUCUGACUAGAGUUCUUCCCAUUUAUCUUUGGUUAAUGUUCGUACCUGAAGUUACAAGUGAACUCUUACACAGACAUUCAUUGCCUAAGCUCUCUAUUCAUGAUCUUGUAAUAUAAAUCAACCUCCAGCAGUUUUUUUGUAUAUAAGAUCUCUAGGAUGCUAAUCUCAAUGUCACCAUCAUGUCAUGUUGGCUCAGCUGGGACCCAAUCACACUUCUGAGUCACAAUGUCAGGUUCAAAUCCCACUGUAAGCUUUGAAACUGAGGUUCAAUCUCCACAUUGGGCCGAAAGAAGUGUCUUGUUGCCUUCCCUGAAGUGAUCAUGUCAAACACCUGAAUUAACUAAUCAAUAAAUGAAUGAUCACACUAUAUAAAAGAAUGGGCUGUCCUACCUAACAAUGUUGGCGGCAUUACACAGGUGAUUAAUAUGAUACUUUCCUGAAAGCUUUCCAGAGUUGCCACAGGCAUCAAAUAAACGUCGUAGAUUGGAUGAUGCUCAGUUUGGCCUGCGGCACACACUCAGUACUCACACAAGCGCUGUCAAUUCAGUAUGUGGCCCUAUAAAUCCACUGAAGUGAAAGGCCAGGAGGUGAAGUGGUCCACAAGAGUUAACUGGAUCAAGAUGAUCCUGAUGAUUAUCCUAAAACCUUUUCACAGCUUGUAGAGUCAAAGGCUUUUUCAAUUUCUGCUGAAUGCAGUGGCCAAGUAGGAGGUCCAAUUUCAAGCAUCUGAUAUUCAGCACAGUAUGUUUUUUUUAUUGAACAGAUGAAAAGGUGUGCACCUGUGUAAUAGUAUUAGCUAACAAUUCUUUUCCAAGCUGCCAACUGAAGAGCAGCAUGGCACCUGCCAACAUUUCCUCGGUCAAUAAAACAAGCCUACAAUUUUCACACCUUCACCAGCCAUUUAUUAUAAUAACAGCUCCUUGUGUUCACACAGCACCUCUAUUACAGACAUAAAGUAUCUCUCAAUGGUUUCAGAGAUGAGUAUAAAACAAAACAAACAAAAGAUGUCAGGAGGGCACAACAGAAAUUUGGUCAAAAUGGGGGAGCUUAGAAGAUUUUACAUUUGAUAGUGGUGUAAAUUUCUGUGAGCAUAGCUCUUUUGCACAUACUGUUGUAAGGCAGGUCACCUUCCUAUCAAUUUGAACCAGUCUUGCCAUUUUUACCCACAGAACUGCCACUGUCUGGAUGUUUUUUGGUUCUUGCACCAUUCCCUGUAAACUCUAGAGACUGUAGUACAUGAUAAUCCCAGGCGAUCAGCAGUUUCUGAGACACUCAAACUUCCUCGUCCGGCACCAAUAAUCAUUCCAUGGUCAAAGACAAUCACAUUUCUUUCCGAUGUUAGGUCUGAACAACAACUGAACGUUUUGCCAUUUCUGCAUGCUUUUAUGCAUUGUGUUGCAGCCACAUGAUUGGCUGAUUAGAUAUUUGCAUUAUUUAUUUAUUGUAAUACAGCAUUAAAUAGGCCCUUCCAGGCCAUUGAGUCACGCUACCCAGCAACCCCUGAUUUAACCCUAGCCUAAUCAUGGGACAAUUUACAAUGACCAAUUAACCUAUCAAUCGGUACUUCUUUGGACUAUGGGAGGAAACUGCAGCACACAAAGAAAACACACGCAGUCACACGGAGAAUGUACUAACUCCUUACAGGCAGCAGUGGGAGUUGAACCUGGGUUGCCUGUACUGCAAAGCAUUGUGCUAACCAUUACACUACCAUGCAUUAAUGAGCAGGUGCACCUUUAUAACUAUUAAAGUGGUCACAGAGUGUAGAAUAAAUAGUUCUGUUUGGGGAGAUGGACUUCUUUAUAAAGAAGUGCUUUAUAAAAACUUCUUUUGAUGGAGUUGAAUUAAGAUGUGCAGCACUAAGAUGCUUCAUGAUGAAUUGUGACAGGAGGAGGAGGAGGAAUAGAGAAGGCAUCUACAACUAUUGGCCAAGGUACAAACUUUGUCGUAGUUCUUGAUUGCAUUCCUCUUUUCUUUUAUAUGGGUAAACAUUUGGAUUCAAAUAGAUAUCUGGCUUUCAAUCUUUUUUCUGCAUCCAUCUCCCUUCUAGACAGUGCAUUCCUUAUAACCUUUGACAAAAAAACAACAGUGGGGAAAGAAAUGGGUGAAGUUCCAGGGGUGAAAAAAAAUCCAUAUUAAGUGAAAUAUAGUGUCACACCUGGUAAAUUUGCUGCCUUGGGUUUAAUCCUGACCUUCAGUGUUCUCUGUGUGGAGUUGACAUACUUUUCCUGCGACUGUGUGGGUUUCCUGCAGAUAUCUUAGUUUCUUCCCACAUCCCAGAGUUGUGGGGUUUAGUAGGUUAUUUGGCCACCAUAAAUUGGCUCUACGGUGUAGUGAAUGGUAGGGCAUGUUGAGGGGAAUGUGAAGAUAUUAGUGAGAUGAGUCUAAAUGUGUGCUUGAUAUGAAUUGAAGAGAACAUGCACUGUUAGGUUAUGGCUGAAGAGAAGGCAGGCUAGGAAAUGGAACUGAAGCUGGGUUGCAUAUUUCUAAAUGUGAGUUACAAAGAUGUAACUAAAUUUUGAAAUCAUGGGGCUGUGGUCAAGAGACUCACCCAAAUACAUUUGUUUGACUUCCCCUUUCCCAUAUCAGCCAUCAUGGUAAGCUCACUGAAAAUAUUAUUACUUGGUUUUAAACAUUAAAGAAUCUAGAUCUAACCCUAAUAUGUUUAAUAAUGUGAAAGCUCCGUUCAAACAGGUCUACAGAACUGAUGGGCUAAAGGAGGUUUAAUUUCCCAUUGUGACAUCUGGAUUCAGGCCCUGCUGCAGCAUCUAUUAUUAAGGACCCCCAUCACCCAGGACAUGCCCUUUUUGUUACCAUCAGGAAGGAGGUACAGAAGCCUGAAGGCACACACUCAGCGAUUCAGGAACGGCUUCUUCUUCUCUGCCAUCUGAUUCCUAAAUGGACAUUGAACACUGCCUCUCUUUUUUAAAUAUAUAUUAUUUCUGUUUUUGCGCUAUUUUAAAUUUAAAUAUUUAAUAUAUAUAUAUUUACCAUAAAUGAUUUCCUCUAUUUUUCUGUUAUCAUGUUUUGCAUUGCACUGCUGCUGCUAAGUUAACAAAUUUCCACGACAUAUGCUGGAGAUAUUAAUCUUGAUUCUGAUUCUGCAUCCUGUCUGAAUGAUGAUUAAAGUGUGAAAGAAUCAUUGUUAUGUCCUGUUCUUCCUUUGGUCAAUUGUUAACGUAGUUUCCUGUCUGUUUCAUUGAGCAGCUCAGCUGGAGUUAAGGGACCCAAAAAAGGAGUGAAAUGUUAGAGGGACUACUUCUACAGUCAUCUCCUUUUUAGUUCACAAGGUGGAGCUAUAAUAUCUUUGCUAAAGGAAGUGUAGACUGCGUCUGUAAGGGACUGUUUGAUAGGGAUUGAUUGCUGUGAUUAAUUUAUGAUUCAGUUUUGUUCCAUUACACCAUUACUAAAAUGGAAGAAUAAAAUAGAUGAACAUUUUUCCUGGGAAGAACAGUCCUUCUGCCCAAGAACUAUACUAAUGAAUAGGCCUUACACAUUUAAUCUCCAAGUGUUCAGCCUUUGUGGGGUGCACAAUAGUAAGUUCCAGGUGAGUUUGCUAAACAAAAUAAAUGUGCACAUGAGGCUGCUAAACAACAGAAGAGUCCAUGGAAUUGAAGGAAAAAUAUUAGCAGGCUUAAAAGAUUGGCUGAAUGGCAGGAGGUAAAGAGCGCAGGAAAAAAGGGGGCCUUUUCUGGUUAGCUGCCAGUAACUAGCAGUGUUCCACAGUGAUCGGUGUUGGACCACUUGUUUUCAUGUUAUAUCAUCAAUGAUUUGGAUGACAGAAUUGUUGGAUUUGUAGCCAAGUUUGGGAUGACACAAAGAUGGAUGAAGGGAUUGGUAGUGUUGAGGAAGUAGAAAGAAUGCAGAUAAAGAGAAAUGGCAAAGAAGUGACAGAUGGAAUAUAGUGUAGGAAGUUAACUGUGCACUUUAGUGGAAGGAAUAACAGCAGGCAAUUUUCUAAGCGGGGGAAAAAAAUCAGAAAUCAGUGGUGUAAAGGGACUUGGAAGGAUUCCCUUAAUUUUAACAUGUGGAUAGAGUUGGCUAUAAGGAAGGGAAAUACAAUGUUAGCAUUCAUUUCGAGAGACUUAGCAAAUGAAAGCAGGGAUGUAAUGCUGAGGCUUUAUAAAGCAGAACCUUGUGGGCCAAAGGGCCUGUACUGUGCUAAAAUACUUUAUAUUCUACGUACUAUGAAUUCUUCCAUGUUAGUGCAUUUCCUUAAGCAAGGAGACCCAGUUCUAAAUUUAGUACUACAGAUAUGUCAUGCUAUCCACAGCUGUGCAUGUAUAUAUGAUCAUCAAUAAGUGAUAUCCUGGACAGCCUUGUAUAUCACUUAUACAAAAGUUGUAUGCCACUUGGCAGGUCCAGAUGCCUUUACACAUAAAUGCACCAGAUACAUGAUUGACAGAGAACUGCGAACAAUUGUUGAAUUUUUAAUGCAUUUCUGUCAAAUUUAUGUGCAUAGUUUACAGAAGCAGUGUGCUAAGGCAUGAUUACUGAUGUAUAAAUGUACAUAAUUUCACAAGACUGUAUAUUAAAUUUCAU